CCACUCAAAAAAAGAAAAGAAAAACAGUCCCGAUGCGAGGCGCACAUCCAGCCCCGAUGCGAGGCGCUCGACUGGAUCGGCCGGAGGUGCGGGAGGCGCUGAAUGCUAUUCGCCCGCCCGAGGGGUUCAGGUCGCGAUUAGCCAACACGGACAAUCAAUACAGCCGUCGCCUCGUCUAAGCGAAACUGCUCCACGGAGAUUUCAAGGAGGCAAUCAUUCUUCAGUUUCUGUGCAGAAUUCAUGGCGGGUGAUGUGCACAUCCUCUGCCUCGUGAUACAGGUGAUUUGAGCAGAUCUUGAACUUGGGUAAAAAAAUUAGUUCCUUCGACUCAUAAUCUCCAAUGGCUUCUGAACAGAUGCAUACAUUCCUCAACCAUAUUAGCUGGUCAGCCGAGCCUUCUUGAGAAAUUAGUCAGCCUCUCCCUGAUAAGGCAGAAUAAUCAACUCAUAACUGUAUCUGGUGUGCUUUCGUUAUGGUAUGAAUGAGCGUUACCAGUUCAUUGGUUUUAACAAAGCUAGGGAAUCUAACAGUUACUUUGGGUCUGUCGUUACCUUUGUACAUCCUCACAGAAAAUAUCAGUCUGUUCAUAUUUAGAGGUUAUUUAAUAUAGGUGGUUACUCUUCCAACUGCAACUAUGUGGCCUGGAACUAUAUUCUUGUUGUCGGCACAUUCAGGCACCUUGAUAUUCUCAGUUAUUUUUAUUCUUGCUGAGCUUUUGUGUUGCAACAACAGAACACUUGCAUGCAUAAUGAAAGAUUUUAGUAUUUUGAAAUUCGUUGUGCAGUGAAGAUAGUUACGAUAUUUUUGGUUCCACACUAUUGUUGGGUUUUUUUAACGCCUGUAAUUUGAUUAAAGGGACAUCCUGUAUCUCACAAAACAAAUGUUGAGUCUAUUGGU